rnacentral:tRNA from 1 species
GGCGGUGUCGGCAGCGUGCUCCUGCGCGGCCGCACCGUGAGAACCAAAUCAGAGAGCUAAGCAUGUAGAACUGGCCGGUGAUGGCUUGCGGACGCGGGUUCGAUUCCCGCCGGCUCCACCA